GACGAACGCUGGCGGCGCGCCUAACACAUGCAAGUCGAACGAGAAAGAGGGAGCUUGCUCCCUUGAUCGAGUGGCGAACGGGUGAGUAACGCGUGAGGAACCUGCCUCAAAGAGGGGGACAACAGUUGGAAACGACUGCUAAUACCGCAUAAGCCCACGGCUCGGCAUCGAGCAGAGGGAAAAACUCCGGUGGUAUAAGAUGGACCCGCGUCUGAUUAGCUAGUUGGUGAGGUAACGGCCCACCAAGGCGACGAUCGGUAGCCGGACUGAGAGGUUGAACGGCCACAUUGGGACUGAGACACGGCCCAGACUCCUACGGGAGGCAGCAGUGGGGAAUAUUGCACAAUGGGGGAAACCCUGAUGCAGCGACGCCGCGUGGAGGAAGAAGGUCUUCGGAUUGUAAACUCCUGUUGUUGGGGAAGAUAAUGAGGUACCCAACAAGGAAGUGACGGCUAACUACGUG
rnacentral:rRNA from 1 species